AUUAAAAAAAAAAUAAAGUCAUCUGACUAAUAUUUAGACAUAGGUCUUAGAGAUCAGUUUCAAGUUUCCAACUAUUUUAAAAAAUACUGUUUUCGCAUAAGUUGGGUGUUGUAGAAAACAGCUCAACAGCACAUGUUACCACAUCUGUUCUUACCUGUUUGGUUUGUUAAGAAAGGGCUUGCCCAGCCUGAAAGCAAAAGAAACAGAAGUAAAGCCUCAAAGAAAAAGAACACAACGAACUCAACCUUUGCUUACAUUGCCCAGGUCAUCUCCAGACCCUUGCUUACACCUGAAGGAAUCUGCUUAAUCUUGCUAGUAGUUUUACGUUUGUUCUUAAAACUUACGAUGGCUUCUGAUGAAAGCUAGAUGACAAUUCUUCUAAAGCAUGUGUCUAUUAUUAGACGUAUUUAGAUUGGUUACAUUAGUCAGCUGUAUGACAUGAGCUCUGCUGCAAUGGAUGAUUUAAUGCCCAUGUUCCUAGUCGGUAGUGGGCUGGUUAAUAGGACCAGCUUUCUGCAUCUUUGGUUCUGAGAGAAGUGACAGAAACUUCCAAGCAUCUGUUUGCUUCAGUUUUAUCUGUCUGCCAACAGGACGCUUACCUAUUCAUUUGCCAAAUAACUAGACUGGUAUUUGUUCCUGGAACGGAAUCACCUCCAUUGCUGAUAUGUCUGUGCACUUGGCGUGUCUAGCUUUCACCUGAGGCAAAGGGCCAAGUCUCUUAAGAAGUUUUACCUGUGUCAAGGCCAAGGGACUGUUGCUCUUUUUGUCUAAGCAGGUCGACUGUUCCCUCAGAAGAUUUUAAACUCACUAGCAGAGAGAAACAUCGGAAUACUUUGGCCUAAUCUUUAUUUUGUUUUCUUGGCUUUGGGGAACGAUAUCAAAACCGUGUUAGACUUUCAGGCCUCUCGAGCUAGUUCCUGAGAUACUUCCAGUGUUUGCUCUCUGACAUACAGACCACAUUUGACUCACAAAUGUUAUUUCUAUGACACGGCAUGUCCUAUUUUUACUUUCAAUAUUUGACAAUCUCAACGUGUUUAAAGAUGAAUAAAUGCACACGUUUCCAAGGCCGGGAAGCAGCCUCUCAAGUUUCCCAGUACCACAUGCGGUGCUAUGCUUAAGAAACCUGCUGUUCUUAAAACAUGUUUGACAAGAGAGUUCGGCCCUGUGGCAUGUAUCCAACUCUGGUUUUUAAGGUCCAGAACUAUCAUUUUAUUCGAUCUCCCAGACAAUUAUUUUCUUUCCCUUUUUAUCUAGGCACCAGAAUAGGCUAAAAGUGAUGAAAAAGUGUGGCCCUGGAUCCUCUGUAAUUUGCCAGAUCAUCAAUAUUCUGAGCAAAUGUCUGGCAAGCAUUCGUCGGGCUGCUUCAGACAAGGAUGAGGAUCUGAAGGCCUACCGCACUUACCCACCUCAAGGCAACACUGGUCUAAGGCUUGAACAUGGCUUCACCCAGGCCAACUUCUGUAUCCUUGGUCACACUAACAGUGACGGCUGAGAAGAUGCAGUUCAAUACUCUGAGUCUUCCUAUCACUCAGCAAGAAUGCCCGGUGGGGCUUGGAAAACAACCUUAUUGCUCGGAUCACAGCCAGGUAGAGGGUGGUCUCCUGGGUGGAACCGUUCCUGCAAGGACAAGGUUUAUCAAGCAUCUACAAAGACAAUUCUCUCUCUCUCUCUUUUUUUCUUUUCUUUUCUUUUUUUAAGAAAGGAAAUGUUGGAGUCCUUGGAUCAAUUUUUCAAUGUCUUUGGAAGCUUUAGGUGUUUGUUUUUCCUAAGUAUAUUCUUUGGAAAGCCUGGAGAGGAAAGAAAAGUGGUCCAAUUGCACACAGAUGGUAAACCCACAGCUCCCAUCAACAGCAGCAAAGAAAUAAUCUUGACCCAAGCAGGCAAACUCUCAAAUAGGAAAUAAAGCCUUGUGAGAAUGAGGAAUGAAAGUCCCCGAGUCAGAAUGAUAGGCUGCUCCCGGGAGACCCACAAAAUGGCACGGAGUCCUGUCCUUCCCCAAGAGAGGCAUUUUAAAAAUGGCAGCAAAGUAGAUAUUGAGCUGGACAAUCAAUCAAGUCAUUGGAUACGUUGUUCAGAUUUUCUGCAGUUUUCCUCACUGGACCAUAAAGUCAUGAAAGGACAUUGCAAAGAACUACAAGAGACUAUAAGUGAAUAUUCAUCUUCUCUUGAGAUAGGGAAAUCCUUUCUAAAUAUGCCAUUAAAAUAGAACAUAAGGAAAAAGAUCAGUGAAUAUGAUAGUGUAAACUAAAAAUGUCUGUAUAUAUAUUUUAAAACACUGUAAAAAAACAUUAAAAGGCAAAUGGAAACUUUGAAUAAUGUUUCCAACACACCUUGCAGACAUGAGAUUUAAAAUCUUAAUAUAUAUGGCACAAAAACAGACACUCAGAUCAAUGGAACAGAAUAGAGAACCCAGCAAUGGACCCACAAACGUAUGGCCAACUAGUCUUUGACAAAGCAGGAAAGAAUAUCCAGUGGAAUAAAGACA